CUUGGUCAUUUAGAGGAAGUAAAAGUCGUAACAAGGUUUCCGUAGGUGAACCUGCGGAAGGAUCAUUACCGAGUGAGGGCCCUCUGGGUCCAACCUCCCACCCGUGUUUAUUUUACCUUGUUGCUUCGGCGGGCCCGCCUUAACUGGCCGCCGGGGGGCUUACGCCCCCGGGCCCGCGCCCGCCGAAGACACCCUCGAACUCUGUCUGAAGAUUGUAGUCUGAGUGAAAAUAUAAAUUAUUUAAAACUUUCAACAACGGAUCUCUUGGUUCCGGCAUCGAUGAAAAACGCAGCGAAAUGCGAUACGUAAUGUGAAUUGCAAAUUCAGUGAAUCAUCGAGUCUUUGAACGCACAUUGCGCCCCCUGGUAUUCCGGGGGGCAUGCCUGUCCGAGCGUCAUUGCUGCCCUCAAGCACGGCUUGUGUGUUGGGCCCCGUCCUCCGAUCCCGGGGGACGGGCCCGAAAGGCAGCGGCGGCACCGCGUCCGGUCCUCGAGCGUAUGGGGCUUUGUCACCCGCUCUGUAGGCCCGGCCGGCGCUUGCCGAUCAACCCGAAUUUUUAUCCAGGUUGACCUCGGAUCAGGUAGGGAUACCCGCUGAACUUAAGCAUAUCAAUAAGCGGAGGA
rnacentral:rRNA from 1 species